UAAAAUUAGCAAACUUGUCAUUUCUUAAUUUUCUUCCCUGUUGUUCAUAUUUAAUGGGAGAUACUUGACUUUAAGACUCAAAAAAUAUUAGCUGUUCUGAGAGACACUCUCACAUGUAUUUAUCUUCUUAAUUUAACUGCCUUUUUACUCUCGAGUUCACCACAAAUACUGAACUGCAUUAAGGAUCUAGUGUAGAAGAAUGUUGUUAUUGGAUUACUUCUAGGUUGAAAGCAAGGUUCUAACAGGAUUUAUGCUCCCCAGAAGAGCAGCAGUGUAAUAUUUCUUGAAGAACAGUCCUUGUGCUAACCCGAAACACACAGGAAAAUGGAGUGGCCAGCAAAUGCAUGUUUGGGAGAUUGUGCCUGGAAAAUUGCCUCAGAAAAAGAGAAGCUAUCAAGAUUUUCUCACUGGUCAGAAGAGAGUAAAGGAGGACCAAUAUGUGGGAUUACAGGUUUUGGCUUUCCACUCCUUGCAGCAAAUGGAAGAUUUCAAGUGUACUGCUCUGCCCAGCUGGGUACAAGGUAUAAGAAUCUAGCCUCUCAUGGUUAGCAAUGGAACCUGGAGUAUGAACAAGAGCCUGACUCUCUGUGAUUUUACAUCAUUCUGAGAAGUGAUUUGUGGCCUUCCUUGCCUUCUGUCACCAAACUCGUAUAAACAGAUUUUGGUCCAGUAUUUGCUAAGGUCUUCAUAUCAUCUUCUGUACAGAAUGUUGUGCUAUUAUUGAAGCCAAGAAAGAGACCGUGGCGGAGAUGUGUUGAUGAUGUUUUGGCUGCUUUUCAAGAAAGCACAGAUGCUCCAAACACCUUUCUGGAAUUCAUAAGUACUAAAAAUAUCCUUCCAUUAAAAUACAAAGGAAAUAGAGAAAUAAAGCUUAAUGUCUUUGUCUAAACAGAUAUAACUGUACGCUGUUGAUGGAAAGCUCCUAAUAUGUUCCAGUUAGCAGUCCUGUGAGUAGGAAUCAAUGUAUUCACUAAGAACUAGAAUUCAUACUCUAAUUGCCAGAGUAAAUGCUUUAAAGACAUCUGAGCAGAACCAAAGCCCAACCAACCAAAACCCUCAAACUCUUCUUCAAUAUCAGUUAUUUUGAAUCAAGCUCUUCAGAGAAGUAGAAUAUUUUUUCCAAUCCAUUACAUAAAAUAAGAGGUCUCAUGUCUGGUUUGCUUUUUAUUUUGUGGUUUGAGGUUUUUAUAUAUUUGUUUUACAUGCAAGAGGUGAAGAAACAUCAAUCUUUGCUUGGUGAACGUGAAGGGAUUAGGGACUUUUUAAUUUAAAAAAGAAAGAAUCUACUAGCUUAAAAAAAAAGAAAAAGAAAGAUAGAGGGCUGAAAUCAAUCUUAUUUAGUUAAAGCCUUGAGGAACCACAGCAACCAUCUAUCUUUUCUUUAACUGCUUGUCUGGUAAUCACCGAGUAAGAGUGUGUCUUUCACUUUAGAUGGAAAUGAAGUUGCAAUUAGGAAAGCUGCUUCAGUCAUUUACUGCUGUCCUCAAACUAAGCACAGGAAAGCUAACCAUAGGUAAAAAUACAAACUGACCCCAAACUGAA